CUCAUUCCAGUUCCUCGCUAGCUCCUUCAACAUUUCCCAGCGGGCAGUACGCUACCACUGGAGGCAAAGCGGGUUCACGCGUGAAAGGGAGGGCUUUCUCCUUCCCGGCCGGGUACGUUUCCUGCAGAACUCAAGAGCGUCCUCCGCGGCUCCGGCCAACCAGCUGCAGCCACAGUACCGUAGUCCGUAGGUACCCUCUCUCUGUCGUGGUGCAGAAACUCUAGGGGAAGAGAUGAAGCACAUAAUGGGGAGCCCCGGGACGCCGAGCGGCUUGGCGCUGCGGGUGUCGCAGUUCGUGUGCGCUGCCGGCUCUCUGGCAGCGAUGCUCUCCGCUUUUGGCUUCUCCAACUACAGCACCUUCUGUUACUUGGUUCUUCAAAUGAUCCUGCAGCUUAUCUGGAGUUUCAUCCUUGUUUGUAUUGAUAUCUAUUCUUUAAAGAUUAACUGGGACCUUCACAGCACUGGGAAUUUGUAGAAGUAUGUUAUAGGUGACUGGAUCCUGGCGAUCGGCGCAUUGUCAGCAGCUUCUUCCACUGCCGCUGUGGCCAUUCUUCUUGCAAUAGACGUCGAAUUCUGCAGGGUGUAUCCGUAUCUCACAUGCAUCCGUUACAAGGUUUCUGUCAUCCUAGCAUCCAUGGCAUGGUCAUUCAUAGUUGCAUCUGCUGGUUCCACAUUCUGGCUGCUUGUUUCACUUUCCGAGUAACUUGUGUUCUAUUACAUCCUGUUGCAAUUCUGCUUGAGAAAUUUUAAAUUUUAACUAGAAUGGAGAUGCAGCUGUCGCCAUGUGCAGAUUUAUAUUGUAGUCUGUCUGAGAGAUUUCUCCUAGUCUAAUAGUCAUCCAAAAAGCAAUGGAAGAAGGAUUCUGUAUGUUGGUGGGAGAAGACGAGAGGUGAACCAUAUUAUGCGAGAAAUUCUAAUUGCUAUUGUAUUGCUUUUGAUAUGGGAAUAUAUGCAAGUUUUCUAGACCAA